rnacentral:siRNA from 1 species
UAGUACUAGGAUGGGUGACCUCCCG